AAUGGGCGAAAGCCUGAUCCAGCCAUGCCGCGUGUGUGAAGAAGGCCUUCGGGUUGUAAAGCACUUUAAGUGGGGAGGAAAAGCGGAGCGUGAAUAUCGCUUUGCCGUGACGUUACCCACAGAAUAAGCACCGGCAAACUCCGUGCCAGCAGCCGCGGUAAUACGGAGGGUGCGAGCGUUAAUCGGAAUUACUGGGCGUAAAGCGCACGUAGGCGGUUCUGUAAGUGGGAUGUGAAACCCCCGGGCUUAACCUGGGAAUUGCAUACCAGACUGCAAAGCUAGAGUAUGAGAGAGGGUGGUGGAAUUUCCGGUGUAGCGGUGAAAUGCGUAGAGAUCGGAAGGAACAUCAGUGGCGAAGGCGGCCACCUGGCUUAAUACUGACGCUGAGGUGCGAAAGCGUGGGGAUCAAA
rnacentral:rRNA from 1 species